CAUCACCAAUGCUCACUUGAUCCGAUCCAGUGUAAGGAGUAGAGUUGAGGUUCAAAUUUGCAAAGUCAGUAGGGUUGUUCAUCCGGACCGGUUUUUAUCCGGUCCGGACCGGAAACCGGAUAACCGGAUUUCCGAUUGCGGUUUUUGGCCCGGAUGAAAUCCGGGUCGGGCCCCGCAUUUGUAAAAUCAGAUACAUUCGGUCCGGACACGGGUAUGAAACCCGGGUUCCGUUUUAUAACCCGGUUAACCGGGUUGGUAUAAAAACUUCAAAAAAGGGUCUCUCUCCUCGUAACCCGUCUCCCAACUUCCCAAGUCAUCUCUCUCUCUCUCUCAAACGCACGAAACCCUAGCCGCCCCCCUUAAUCUCCUUCGUUCUUCACUCCCCACAGUGACCACGAUCUCCUGUAGAAAAACCUUCUCUCUCUCUCUCUCUCUCUCUCUCUCUCUCUCUCUCUCUCUCUCUCUCUCUCUCUCUCUCUCUCUCUCUCUCUCUCUCUCUCUCUCGGUGAACCCUAGCUUUGUUAUGUGCAUAUUUUCAACCCUAACAAGCUUGCUCUACUCGAGUGCCGAAAACCUAGGAUUUUGGCCGCCGUCUCUUUUUCACUGCCGUGUCUCUCUCGAUCGCCGGUGACCUUUCGUGAAUGUACGCCAUGCCCACUUUCCUUGUCGAUUGAGUUGGAUGAGAACAACCAAGUGUGGAUCUCUUUCGGUCCAAUCACUUGAAGUUGCUAUUUGGUGUGAAGAUUAAAUAAUUGAUGGAAAUGCAUCUGAUUUUGUAAUUUAUAUAUUGUAAUUUUGUAAUUUAUAUAUUGUAAUUUUGUAUUUUGUAAUGUAUAUAUAGCAAAUAAUGGAAUAUAUAGUGGAUUGCAUUAUGAUGCAUGCAUAGAUGAAUAUUGGGUUUUUUUUUUUUUUUUAGAUGCAUCUAGUAUUUUUAGAACACAAAUAUUAUGCUUUGACUAUGUUUUUAUGAGUAUUUUUUUUCUCUCUGAAUUUGGUCAUCUUUGACUAUGUUUUGCAUCAAACAAAUGAAACAUGCAUAGCUACAUGUUUAUUCUUU